rnacentral:lncRNA from 1 species
CCUGGCGGACGGAUUAGCUAACUUUGCGUUUACUCUAGACUUGGGUCUUCAGUUUUUGGGUAUUGCUACGGGGUGUGUUGAGGAGAUUGUUGACGAAGAUGCUCGUGGAAUGGCGUUCCCACAAAGAAUUUGUGUUUAAUUUUUUAAUUUUUUCUUUUUCUUUUAAUUAGGGAGGUUUCCUGCGUUUGUAUCACCAAAAAAAAAACUGAUUAUUGAGUGUCACAUGUGACUUCAUCAUGGGCAAUUAAACAAUUUAGUAGGUCUCAAAAGCAAGUAACAAGAAAACUUUACAUAGCACUGAUUAUUUAAUUUAUUAGCAUGGAAUACAUACAUAUAUUUGAGUAUGGGCAACUAAAAACCUGAAAAACAACACUUAUAAUUAAUUUUUGUAAGGAAUAUACAAGGGUUUUAUUUCUCUGUUCUUUAGAUUCUUCUCACAUGAAAUCUAAAUUAGUAAAUAUACUCAACAGAAGGGAGGUAAACAUAAUGCUCAAUCAAUGGUUUUAAUAUAAAGUAACUUUAGAGAAAACAAAGGGUGUGAAGCUGAUUAUCACCAAGAUGUUCACUGAGCUUGAGACAAGACAGCAGUAAUUGCGUGAAAAGUGCAGACACAGAAAUGCAUACUUGCUAAUUACUAUGUUGCAAAGUUUAUUGACAUAAAGUAAAAGAAAAAGGAAUCAUGUGAACGGUGAAAAAGAAAAGAAAAAAAAUCCUCGUAAGGACUCUCAAACAUUGGCUACCUUAGACUAAUUGACAAUUAUCAUAGUUACCAUAGUUAGUUGAGUGACGGUUUUAAAUUUUAACUAAUAAUUUUCCAUACUCUAAAGAUUUUAAUCCGUGGUAUUAUUUCGGGGAUUUUUUUUAUUUUUUUCUGUAAAAUUACAUAUUUUUGGAAUUUAUAGAUGUAUCAGAGUUACUUUUUAAGAUUGUAUAAAUCUAAUAUUAAUUAAAUCAGUUUCAUUUACCA